GAUGAACGCUGGCGGCGUGCUUAACACAUGCAAGUCGAACGGAAAGGCUCCUGCUUGCAGGGGUACUCGAGUGGCGAACGGGUGAGUAACACGUGGGUGAUCUGCCCUGCACUUCGGGAUAAGCCUGGGAAACUGGGUCUAAUACCGGAUAGGACUAUGGGUUGGAUGCCAUUGUGGAAAGUUUUUUCGGGGUUGGAUGAGCUCGCGGCCUAUCAGCUUGUUGGUGGGGUAAUGGCGUACCAAGGCGUCGACGGGUAGCCGGCCUGAGAGGGUGUCCGGCCACAUUGGGACUGAGAUACGGCCCAGACUCCUACGGGAGGCAGCAGUGGGGAAUAUUGCACAAUGGGCGCAAGCCUGAUGCAGCGACGCCGCGUGGGGGAUGACGGCCUUCGGGUUGUAAACUCCUUUCGCUAGGGACGAAGCGCAAGUGACGGUACCUGGAGAAGAAGCACCGGCUAACUACGUG
rnacentral:rRNA from 1 species